rnacentral:tRNA from 1 species
GGGAAUGGAUGGGGCCCGGUGGCCCUGACGGUCUUCAAAACCGCUUAGACCCCCAAAAAGGGGUUUGGUGGGUUCGACUCCCACACGUUCCC